GACGAACGCUGGCGGCGUGCUUAACACAUGCAAGUCGAACGGAAAGGCCCUGCUUUUGUGGGGUGCUCGAGUGGCGAACGGGUGAGUAACACGUGAGUAACCUGCCCUUGACUUUGGGAUAACUUCAGGAAACUGGGGCUAAUACCGGAUAGGAGCUCCUGCUGCAUGGUGGGGGUUGGAAAGUUUCGGCGGUUGGGGAUGGACUCGCGGCUUAUCAGCUUGUUGGUGGGGUAGUGGCUUACCAAGGCUUUGACGGGUAGCCGGCCUGAGAGGGUGACCGGCCACAUUGGGACUGAGAUACGGCCCAGACUCCUACGGGAGGCAGCAGUGGGGAAUAUUGCACAAUGGGCGGAAGCCUGAUGCAGCAACGCCGCGUGCGGGAUGACGGCCUUCGGGUUGUAAGCCGCUUUCGCCUGUGACGAAGCGUGAGUGACGGUAAUGAGUAAAGAAGCACCGGCUAACUACGUGCCAGCAGCCGCGGUGAUACGUAGGGUGCGAGCGUUGUCCGGAUUUAUUGGGCGUAAGGGCUCGUAGGUGGUUGAUCGCGUCGGAAGUGUAAUCUUGGGGCUUAACCCUGAGCGUGCUUUCGAUACGGGUUGACUUGAGGAAGGUAGGGGAGAAUGGAAUUCCUGGUGGAGCGGUGGAAUGCGCAGAUAUCAGGAGGAACACCAGUGGCGAAGGCGGUUCUCUGGGCCUUUCCUGACGCUGAGGAGCGAAAGCGUGGGGAGCGAACAGGCUUAGAUACCCUGGUAGUCCACGCUGUAAACGGUGGGUACUAGGUGUGGGGUCCAUUCCACGGGUUCCGUGCCGUAGCUAACGCUUUAAGUACCCCGCCUGGGGAGUACGGCCGCAAGGCUAAAACUCAAAGGAAUUGACGGGGCCCCGCACAAGCGGCGGAGCAUGCGGAUUAAUUCGAUGCAACGCGUAGAACCUUACCUGGGUUUGACAUGGAUCGGGAGUGCUCAGAGAUGGGUGUGCCUCUUUUGGGGUCGGUUCACAGGUGGUGCAUGGCUGUCGUCAGCUCGUGUCGUGAGAUGUUGGGUUAAGUCCCGCAACGAGCGCAACCCUUGUUCACUGUUGCCAGCACGUUAUGGUGGGGACUCAGUGGAGACCGCCGGGGUCAACUCGGAGGAAGGUGGGGAUGACGUCAAGUCAUCAUGCCCCUUAUGUCCAGGGCUUCACGCAUGCUACAAUGGCUGGUACAGAGAGUGGCGAGCCUGUGAGGGUGAGCGAAUCUCGGAAAGCCGGUCUCAGUUCGGAUUGGGGUCUGCAACUCGACCUCACGAAGUCGGAGUCGCUAGUAAUCGCAGAUCAGCAACGCUGCGGUGAAUACGUUCCCGGGGCU
rnacentral:rRNA from 1 species